GACGAACGCUGGCGGCGUGCUUAACACAUGCAAGUCGAACGGACCUGUUUUUGAAGCGCUUCGGCGUGGAUGGGACGGGGCAGUGGCGCACGGGUGAGUAAUGCGCGAGGACCUGCCCGCGGGAGGGGGACAGCAGUUGGAAACGGCUGGUGAUACCCCGUAGGCCGGGAGGUAAAAGGGCGGAGACGCCCGCCUGCGGAUGGACUCGCGUCCUAUCAGCUAGUUGGUGAGGCAACGGCUCACCAAGGCGACGACGGGUAGCCGGCCUGAGAGGGUGACCGGCCACACUGGAACUGAGACACGGUCCAGACUCCUACGGGAGGCAGCAGUGAGGAAUAUUGCGCAAUGGGGGCAACCCUGACGCAGCAACGCCGCGUGAGUGAGGAAGGUUUUCGGACUGUAAAGCUCUGUCGAGCGGGAAGAAGUGUACCAUGGCUAAUAUCCAUGAUAUUUGACGGUACCGCUAGAGGAAGCACCGGCUAACUCCGUGCCAGCAGCCG
rnacentral:rRNA from 1 species